CCGCUCUCUCCCCCCGGUUCUUCCUCUUCCCUCCGCGGCCUCAGAGAUAUCUGAAAAUGGUCCGCUACUCUCUAGACCCCGAGAACCCCACCAAAUCAUGCAAGUCCAGGGGCUCCAAUCUGCGGGUUCACUUCAAG